ensembl:lncRNA
GCAGCGCUCCGGGCCCCGCCACGUGCGCGAAGUGCCGGCGGGGCGUCCUCCGGAGGGGGAGCGGCUCCGUGAAGGGAGGCGAUCCCGUGGGCUGGGGAGGAACGCGCGGGGAAACGCCGCGUCCGUCUUCGGGCAGCAGCGAGCGGAGCGGGAACGGAGCGCUCCGGUGUCGCCGCUCGGCCCCUUUCCGGCAACGGCCCCGAGCUGGGAGCCAGAGGCAAACCUGCCCCACAACACCAUUUGAUAACAAUACAUUUCACGACUGCCGCUUUUUUUUUUUGGGUCCAAGCUCUUUUAUCACCAAAGGAUUGAUGUGACUUACCACAUAGAUCUCAUGUCAGGAACGAAAACUGAAGUUGUCUUACUUUUCCUUAAAAAAGGAGAAAGUUUGCUCUUGAAGUAUUGCCAACAAAUAAUACUUUCAGAACCUCUUGCAUAGUUCGGAUGCCAAAGUCACACUGGAAGUCAGUGAGAUUCAAGAUUUUAACUCGCACUGCAAAUGUGAUUCAAAGGCUUUAAGGGUGAAGCGUCUGUCCCUGCAGAGGAUCUGAGCAAGGCUCCUUUACCCUUCAGGUUCUGGGCUGAUCGGUAGGACCAAGAGGUGGGAGAGAGGUCACAGUGGGCUCCUGCCAUCUACGGAUAUGCUGAUCAUAAGUAAGUUUUGGAGGAGAUGGCUGGAUCCAUUCUUACAGAGAUGGCUUCUCUUGUCAAGAUCUGUCUGAAGAUGCACUGUGCUUGGUGAUUUUCCUUAAUGCCAUGGUUCUGCAGGGAACUGCCUUGCUGAGCUCUUUACCUUCUGUGUGCGUUUCCAGGUUUGCCUGAAUGUGGAGAAGAGUGAAGAUGAAGCACAGUGGCUCAGGAAGCACAUAACACAAUGCUUCUCAUUUUAAGAGUCUGAUAAUUAAGCCAUUAAAGAGUGCUGGGACUAGCAAUACCAUGUCUACGGGGAGCUAAUUACUUGUACCACUGGUAAAAUACCAUGACAACAAUAAAGGACAUUUUAUAGACAAGGAAUGCUGACAAGCUCCUGCCCUGAAGCAUGCAGCUGGAGGGCCCAGCCUGUACCCUUCCAAGUCAGUGGAACAUCUCCAGUGCACAACAGCAACUUGGGACCCGCAUUUCUGCUGUCAAGUUUGCGUGGAAAUAAAUAGGAGGCAUCACUUUUGGACCAGUCUACGUGUUACAGCAGAACAGCCCCCUUGGCCUUCAUUCCAUUCCUCUUCCUGGUGGGACAGAAGCAUCUGAAUGCAUUACAGAAAAAUUACACUCCCUCCAUAUGGAUGCAAGAUUGCUGGACCCCGUUUGAAAGGAGGAUUUUUUGGUCUCUAAGACCUGGACCUCAGCCACCCUCUGCAGCUCUCUCCUCC